GUGAAAAGAGAGCUGGCAGGAGUACUGAUCUUCGAGUCCCAUGCCAAAACAGGAACAGUCUUGUUCAAUCAAGGGGAGGAGGGCACCUCAUGGUACAUUAUCCUGAAGGGCUCCGUCAAUGUCGUCAUCUAUGGAAAAGGUGUCGUCUGCACGCUUCAUGAGGGGGACGACUUUGGGAAGCUGGCUCUGGUCAACG